rnacentral:tRNA from 1 species
GGUAUGUAGCUCAGUGGUAGAGUGCAUGCUUAAUGAGUAAGGCACUGGGUUCAACUCCCAGUACCA